rnacentral:lncRNA from 1 species
AAGGAAAAAAAUGGGAGAGGCGAUUCCGAGAGGAGAAGAAAGAAUGGGAGAAGUGGUUGCAAAGGGAGCCGAGAAGAAGGUGAUGGUGGCCAUUGACGAGAGCGAGUGCAGUCAUUACGCUCUCAUGUGGGUUCUCGACAACCUCAAAGACUCCAUAACCAACUCGCCCUUGAUCAUCUUCAUGGCUCAGACUCCCUCCAACGGCAACAUCACCUUCUCGGCGUCGCUCGGCGCUGCUCGCAUGUACUGUCCUAUGUCUUCCAGUUA